GAUGAACGCUGGCGGCGUGUCUAAGGCAUGCAAGUCGAACGGACUGUUAUUUGUAGCAAUACUUAGAACAGUUAGUGGCAAACGGGUGCGUAACACAUUGGUAACCUGCCUCAAAGUCGGGCAUAAUCCCGCGAAAGUGGGACCUAAUUCCACGAUAGUCAUCGAAGGUGAGAUUCCUUCGAUGUAAAGUCGCAAGACGCUUUGAGAGGGGCCUAUGGCCUAUCAGCUUGUUGGUGAGGUAACGGCUCACCAAGGCUAUGACGGGUAGGGGGUGUGAGAGCACGACCCCCCUNACUGGGACUCGAGACCACUGCCCAGACACCUACGGGUGGCUGCAGUCGAGAACUAUUCCCCAAUGGCCCGAAAGGCUGAGGGAGCGACGCCGCGUGCAGGAAUAA
rnacentral:rRNA from 1 species